GCCGGUGUGGCGAAAUUGGUAGACGCAGCAGACUCAAAAUCUGCCGGUAGCAAUACUGUAUCGGUUCGAGUCCGAUCACCGGUA
rnacentral:tRNA from 1 species